GAGCCUGGUGGUGUGGCAGGGCAGAAUCUGUCCCUGGUGCACAACUUCUGCUGCUUGAACGUCUUGAGGCACGUGUUGGUACCAGAGAGGGGAAAAAUCUGCUUCAGGUUUGAACUUAACCAGAUUAAAGACAGUGAAAAAUUGCAGUUGGCUUCGGGGAAAAGAUUGCCUCUUUCAUUGCACCCAUUUUUAGCAAGUGGAAUCUGCGUUUGCCUGUUGAGCCCAGUUUCAGGGAGACCCUUUCACUUUCAUAUGUGAAAAUGAACUUGCAUCCCAAACAGUUCUGUGGACUGUUGUGUUUUCUAGAUUAGACACUGAAGUUGUUGUGGGUUUUUUUGGUUUUUUUUUUUUGGUACUGGGCA